rnacentral:rRNA from 1 species
UUUGGUCGCCAACGAGUGGCGGACGGGUGAGUAACACGUAGGUAACCUGCCCAGAAGCGGGGGACAACAUUUGGAAACAGAUGCUAAUACCGCAUAACAGCGUUGUUCGCAUGAACAACGCUUAAAAGAUGGCUUCUCGCUAUCACUUCUGGAUGGACCUGCGGUGCAUUAGCUUGUUGGUGGGGUAACGGCCUACCAAGGCGAUGAUGCAUAGCCGAGUUGAGAGACUGAUCGGCCACAAUGGGACUGAGACACGGCCCAUACUCCUACGGGAGGCAGCAGUAGGGAAUCUUCCACAAUGGGCGCAAGCCUGAUGGAGCAACACCGCGUGAGUGAAGAAGGGUUUCGGCUCGUAAAGCUCUGUUGUUAAAGAAGAACACGUAUGAGAGUAACUGUUCAUACGUUGACGGUAUUUAACCAGAAAGUCACGGCUAACUACGUGCCAGCAGCCGCGGUAAUACGUAGGUGGCAAGCGUUAUCCGGAUUUAUUGGGCGUAAAGAGAGUGCAGGCGGUUUUCUAAGUCUGAUGUGAAAGCCUUCGGCUUAACCGGAGAAGUGCAUCGGAAACUGGAUAACUUGAGUGCAGAAGAGGGUAGUGGAACUCCAUGUGUAGCGGUGGAAUGCGUAGAUAUAUGGAAGAACACCAGUGGCGAAGGCGGCUACCUGGUCUGCAACUGACGCUGAGACUCGAAAGCAUGGGUAGCGAACAGGAUUAGAUACCCUGGUAGUCCAUGCCGUAAACGAUGAGUGCUAGGUGUUGGAGGGUUUCCGCCCUUCAGUGCCGGAGCUAACGCAUUAAGCACUCCGCCUGGGGAGUACGACCGCAAGGUUGAAACUCAAAGGAAUUGACGGGGGCCCGCACAAGCGGUGGAGCAUGUGGUUUAAUUCGAAGCUACGCGAAGAACCUUACCAGGUCUUGACAUCUUGCGCCAACCCUAGAGAUAGGGCGUUUCCUUCGGGAACGCAAUGACAGGUGGUGCAUGGUCGUCGUCAGCUCGUGUCGUGAGAUGUUGGGUUAAGUCCCGCAACGAGCGCAACCCUUGUUACUAGUUGCCAGCAUUAAGUUGGGCACUCUAGUGAGACUGCCGGUGACAAACCGGAGGAAGGUGGGGACGACGUCAGAUCAUCAUGCCCCUUAUGACCUGGGCUACACACGUGCUACAAUGGACGGUACAACGAGUCGCGAACUCGCGAGGGCAAGCAAAUCUCUUAAAACCGUUCUCAGUUCGGACUGCAGGCUGCAACUCGCCUGCACGAAGUCGGAAUCGCUAGUAAUCGCGGAUCAGCAUGCCGCGGUGAAUACGUUCCCGGGCCUUGUACACACCGCCCGUCACACCAUGAGAGUUUGUAACACCCAAAGUCGGUGGGGUAACCUUUUAGGAGCCAGCCGCCUAAGGUGGGACUA